GACCCAGUGGCGAAGUGGUAUCGCAUCCGCUUCCUUUUCAUCGAGAAGGCUUACAUUCGUUUCCGCGGGAGACACCCGUUCGAGUCGGGUCUGGGUGA